rnacentral:rRNA from 1 species
CGACGCUGGCGGCAGGCUUAACACAUGCAAGUCGAGGCGGGCGUAGCAAUACGUCAGCGGCAGACGGGUGAGUAACGCGUGGGAACGUACCUUUUGGUUCGGAACAACACAGGGAAACUUGUGCUAAUACCGGAUAAGCCCUUACGGGGAAAGAUUUAUCGCCGAAAGAUCGGCCCGCGUCUGAUUAGCUAGUUGGUGAGGUAACGGCUCACCAAGGCGACGAUCAGUAGCUGGUCUGAGAGGAUGAUCAGCCACAUUGGGACUGAGACACGGCCCAAACUCCUACGGGAGGCAGCAGUGGGGAAUAUUGGACAAUGGGCGCAAGCCUGAUCCAGCCAUGCCGCGUGAGUGAUGAAGGCCCUAGGGUUGUAAAGCUCUUUUGUGCGGGAAGAUAAUGACGGUACCGCAAGAAUAAGCCCCGGCUAACUUCGUG